rnacentral:rRNA from 1 species
AUGACCUUCGCAGCUAAGCCGGUUGGCUCUCCGGAAUCUGCCACCGUCAACUGCUCCCAGCACAAAGCCGCGACUUCAUCGUCCGGUGGCGUCACGGUGCCGUUGCACCACCGGCACGGCCCGUGCUCACCCCUGCCCUCCACUAAGGCGCCAACCUGGGAGGAGAUACUCAGGCAUGACCAGCUCCGAGCGGCCUACGUCACACACUAA